rnacentral:rRNA from 1 species
GACAAUGGCAAGGAGGUCACACCUGUUCCCAUGCCGAACACAGAAGUUAAGCUCCUUAGCGCCGAUGGUAGUCGGGCUUACGUCCCGCUAGAGUAGGACGUUGCCAGGC